rnacentral:rRNA from 1 species
GAUGAACGCUGGCGGCGUGCCUAAUACAUGCAAGUCGAGCGAACAGACGAGGAGCUUGCUCCUCUGACGUUAGCGGCGGACGGGUGAGUAACACGUGGAUAACCUACCUAUAAGACUGGGAUAACUUCGGGAAACCGGAGCUAAUACCGGAUAAUAUAUUGAACCGCAUGGUUCAAUAGUGAAAGACGGUUUUGCUGUCACUUAUAGAUGGAUCCGCGCCGCAUUAGCUAGUUGGUAAGGUAACGGCUUACCAAGGCAACGAUGCGUAGCCGACCUGAGAGGGUGAUCGGCCACACUGGAACUGAGACACGGUCCAGACUCCUACGGGAGGCAGCAGUAGGGAAUCUUCCGCAAUGGGCGAAAGCCUGACGGAGCAACGCCGCGUGAGUGAUGAAGGUCUUCGGAUCGUAAAACUCUGUUAUUAGGGAAGAACAAAUGUGUAAGUAACUAUGCACGUCCUGACGGUACCUAAGCAGAAAGCCACGGCUAACUACGU